rnacentral:rRNA from 1 species
UGAGGAAUAUUGGACAAUGGGCGCAAGCCUGAUCCAGCCAUGCCGCGUGCAGGAUGACGGUCCUAUGGAUUGUAAACUGCUUUUGCACAGGAAGAAACAACAUUACGUGUAAUGUCUUGACGGUACUGUGAGAAUAAGGAUCGGCUAACUCCGUGCCAGCAGCCGCGGUAAUACGGAGGAUCCAAGCGUUACCCGGAAUCAUUGGGUUUAAAGGGUCCGUAGGCGGUUUAGUAAGUCAGUGGUGAAAGCCCAUCGCUCAACGGUGGAACGGCCAUUGAUACUGCUAGACUUGAAUUAUUAGGAAGUAACUAGAAUAUGUAGUGUAGCGGUGAAAUGCUUAGAGAUUACAUGGGAUACCAAUUGCGAAGGCAGGUUACUACUAAUGGAUUGACACUGAUGGACGAAAGCGUGGGUAGCGAACAGGAUUAGAUACCCUGGUAGUCCACGCCGUAAACGAUGGAUACUAGCUGUUGGGAGCAAUCUCAGUGGCUAAGCGAAAGUGAUAAGUAUCCCACCUGGGGAGUACGUUCGCAAGAAUGAAACUUAAAUGAAUUGACGGGGUCAUAGCUGUUUCC